rnacentral:misc_RNA from 1 species
CACGAACUGCGCAAACGUUAUUCGGAAUCACUGGGCUUAAAGAGUCCGUAGGCGGCUCGGCAGGUGAGGUGUGAAAUCCCACGGCUCAACCGUGGAAUUGCGCUUAAAACCGCCGCGCUGGAGGGAGAUAGAGGAGAGCUGAACUGAUGGUGGAGCGGUGAAAUGCGUUGAUAUCAUCAUGAACACCGGUGGCGAAAGCGGCUCUCUGGGUCUCUUCUGACGCUGAGGGACGAAAGCUAGGGGAGCGAACGGG